rnacentral:rRNA from 1 species
UACAGUGGUCCCCAAGCGUUUGUUUCGGAUUCACUGGGCGUAAAAGGGUGCGUAGGCGGUCGGGUAAGUCUGAUGUGAAAUCUCACAGCUUUAAACUGUGAAAACUGCAUUGGAUACUGUCCGGCUCGAGGAAUGGAGGGGAGACUGGAAUACUUGGUGUAGCAGUGAAAUGCGUAGAUAUCAAGUGGAACACCAGUGGCGAAGGCGAGUCUCUGGACAUUUCCUGACGCUGAGGCACGAAAGCCAGGGGAGCAAACGGG